rnacentral:rRNA from 1 species
UACGAAGGGGGCUAGCGUUGCUCGGAAUCACUGGGCGUAAAGGGUGCGUAGGCGGGUCUUUAAGUCAGGGGGGAAAUCCUGGAGCUCAACUCCAGAACUGCCUUUGAUACUGAGGAUCUUGAGUCCGGGAGAGGUGAGUGGAACUGCGAGUGUAGAGGUGAAAUUCGUAGAUAUUCGCAAGAACACCAGUGGCGAAGGCGGCUCACUGGCCCGGUACUGACGCUGAGGCACGAAAGCGUGGGGAGCGAACAGG